rnacentral:misc_RNA from 1 species
UUGGACUGGUGCAACGCCC